rnacentral:tRNA from 1 species
GCGGCCUUGGUGUAGCCUGGUUAACAUAAUCCCCUGUCACGGGAUAGAUCGCCGGUUCAAAUCCGGUCGGCCGCGCCA